GUGGAUUCUGGCAGCACGUAUACUAAAACUGGAACAAUACAUAGAUUAGCAUGGCCCCUGCACAAAGAUGAUUUGCAAAUUCAUGAAGCGUUAAAAUAAAAA